GGGAAAUUCUCAAGUGAGCUCAAAAUUCUGGAAUUACAAGAGCUUCUGAUGUUACAGCAUGCUAAUAUUUACUUACUUUUGAAUGCCUAUAUUUUUUGUUUGAUAAAAAUUUAAAAAUACAUUGUAGUACAUGCUGCUCCUGGAAGUUAACCAAAUGAAAAAAAAAAUUUCUUUUUUGUAUAUAUCUUCUAUUGGCUCUGUUCCUCUGGUUAAAUCCUGACUGAUGCAGAUUUUGGUAGCUGGGGUACCACUGUAACAAAUACCUAAAGAUAUAGAAGUGGAUUUUGAGGCCCGGGGAUUUAGCUCAGUGGUUUCACCGCCUGCCGUGCAAGCGCAAGGACCCGAGUUCUAUCCCUCGUACCAAAAAAAAAAAAAAAAAGGAAGUGGAUUUUGAAAGGGGCAGUAGGCAGGGGCUGGAAGAAUUUAGAAAAGUGUGGGCUGGGGAUUUAGCUCAAUGGUGCUGCCGCCUGCCUCACAAGUGCAAGGUCCUGAGUUCAAUCCCUGGUACCAAAAAAAAAAAAAGAGUUAAAGAAUUUAGAAAAGUGUGAUAGAAAAACCUAGAUUGCUUUGGACAGACUAUUAGUAGAAAUGUGGUGUUCACAACUCUGCUAGUGAGGAUUCAGCGGGAAGUAAGGAGUAUAGUAAACAUAAAUCCUUAUAGAAUAGAUAAAUCAUUUAGAGCAGACUUUGGGAAGAAAUACAGUUGUUAAAGUUACUGCUAAUAAGGGCUCAGAAAUGAGUAAAGUGGUAUUGGAAAGCAAAAGAAAAGGAAUGCUUUUCUAUAGUGGCCCAAAAUUUAGGUACAGCUGUGUGGAAUGUAGGAAUUAGUAUUCCUAAACUAUUUAUGGAGAGACUUAGAUCUUUUAUCCCAAACAAGCAUUCAGUGAGAGUUUACUUUGGAUGUAGUUAAUGUAAAUUUUACUAGAUAAUGGCCUGACUGGAAUACUCCACGUUAGAACUUGAAUCUGUUGGGAAAUACAACCAAAAAUAAUCAGAAUAUUGUCCUAAUUGCUGUAUCAGUAGGCUGAAAAUUACAGCACAAGUUUUACCACAGUCUAUGGGCACCUUCUGUUUCAUGUUCUCUCAGUUGUAAGUAAGCAAAUCAAGAACUAGGGAUAUUUAAAUAAUUGAAAUUGUACAACUUGAUAGUUCUAGAAACAGAAUUGUUUGGACAUUAAAUUUGACUAGAAAUAAAAAGACAUGUAAAAUCUCUUGAUUAAGUUCUGUCUCUUUCUGGCUGGAAAUUCUUUUCACUCUGGCAAGAGUUAAAAAGCUGACAUUUUCCAGGAUGUCAGUCAUCCCUAAUUUUGACAGACCCACAGAAUAAAGGUUAAAGAUAGUCUUGAGUACUAUUUCUUGAAGGAACUGUUUAAACUCAACUAGCUUGUCCCCAGAUAUUAAUCCUCAAAUGUUACUACAUUUCAUAUUUCAUAAUCAUGUUUAAAAAACCAUAUGCUCUUCUGCAUAUGUAAUUGUGGUAUUUUGGAGUGGUGUUUUGUUUUUUUGGUACUGAGGAUCAAACUCGUGACCUUGCACUUGCAAGGCAGGCGCC
ensembl:lncRNA